UACGAAGGGGGCUAGCGUUGCUCGGAAUCACUGGGCGUAAAGCGCACGUAGGCGGCUUGUUAAGUCAGGGGUGAAAUCCUGGAGCUCAACUCCAGAACUGCCCUUGAUACUGAGGAUCUUGAGUUCGGGAGAGGUGAGUGGAACUGCGAGUGUAGAGGUGAAAUUCGUAGAUAUUCGCAAGAACACCAGUGGCGAAGGCGGCUCACUGGCCCGAUACUGACGCUGAGGCACGAAAGCGUGGGGAGCAAACAGG
rnacentral:rRNA from 1 species